rnacentral:rRNA from 1 species
GACGAACGCUGGCGGCGUGCUUAACACAUGCAAGUCGAACGGAAAGGCCCUGCUUUUGUGGGGUGCUCGAGUGGCGAACGGGUGAGUAACACGUGAGUAACCUGCCCUUGACUUUGGGAUAACUUCAGGAAACUGGGGCUAAUACCGGAUAGGAGCUCCUGCUGCAUGGUGGGGGUUGGAAAGUUUCGGCGGUUGGGGAUAGACUCGCAGCUUAUCGGCUUGUUGGUGGGGUAGUGGAUUACCAAGGCUUUGACGGGUAGCCGGCCUGAGCGGGUGACCGGCCACAUUGGGACUGAGGUACGGCCCAGACUCCAACGGGAGGCAGCAGUGGGGAAUAUUGCACAAUGGGCGGAAGCCUGAUGCAGCAACGCCGCGUGCGGGAUGACGGCCUUCGAGUUGUAAACCGAUGUCGCCUGUGACGAAGCGUGAGUGACGGUAAUGGGUAAAGAAGCAACGGCUAACUACGUG